rnacentral:tRNA from 1 species
GGGAGUAGAUGGGUCCUGGUGGGUCCUCAGGGCUUCAAACCCUGUAUCGGGCGGUGAUCCUGUCCGGGGUGGGUUCGAUUCCCACAUACUCCCGCCA